GCAGCACGGAGCUUGCUCUGGUGGCGAGUGGCGAACGGGUGAGUAAUAUAUCGGAACGUACCCUAGAGUGGGGGAUAACGUAGCGAAAGUUACGCUAAUACCGCAUACGAUCUAAGGAUGAAAGUGGGGGAUCGCAAGACCUCAUGCUCGUGGAGCGGCCGAUAUCUGAUUAGCUAGUUGGUAGGGUAAAAGCCUACCAAGGCAUCGAUCAGUAGCUGGUCUGAGAGGACGACCAGCCACACUGGAACUGAGACACGGUCCAGACUCCUACGGGAGGCAGCAGUGGGGAAUUUUGGACAAUGGGCGAAAGCCUGAUCCAGCAAUGCCGCGUGAGUGAAGAAGGCCUUCGGGUUGUAAAGCUCUUUUGUCAGGGAAGAAACGGUGAGAGCUAAUAUCUNUUGCUAAUGACGGUACCUGAAGAAUAAGCACCGGCUAACUACGUGCCAGCAGCCGCGGUAAUACGUAGGGUGCAAGCGUUAAUCGGAAUUACUGGGCGUAAAGCGUGCGCAGGCGGUUUUGUAAGUCUGAUGUGAAAUCCCCGGGCUCAACCUGGGAAUUGCAUUGGAGACUGCAAGGCUAGAAUCUGGCAGAGGGGGGUAGAAUUCCACGUGUAGCAGUGAAAUGCGUAGAUAUGUGGAGGAACACCGAUGGCGAAGGCAGCCCCCUGGGUCAAGAUUGACGCUCAUGCACGAAAGCGUGGGGAGCAAACAGGAUUAGAUACCCUGGUAGUCCACGCCCUAAACGAUGUCUACUAGUUGUCGGGUCUUAAUUGACUUGGUAACGCAGCUAACGCGUGAAGUAGACCGCCGUGGGGAGUACGGUCGCAAGAUUAAAACUCAAAGGAAUUGACGGGGACCCGCACAAGCGGUGGAUGAUGUGGAUUAAUUCGAUGCAACGCGAAAAACCUUACCUACCCUUGACAUGGCUGGAAUCCUUGAGAGAUYRAGGAGUGCUCGAAAGAGAACCAGUACACAGGUGCUGCAUGGCUGUCGUCAGCUCGUGUCGUGAGAUGUUGGGUUAAGUCCCGCAACGAGCGCAACCCUUGUCAUUAGUUGCUACGAAAGGGCACUCUAAUGAGACUGCCGGUGACAAACCGGAGGAAGGUGGGGAUGACGUCAAGUCCUCAUGGCCCUUAUGGGUAGGGCUUCACACGUCAUACAAUGGUACAUACAGAGCGCCGCCAACCCGCGAGGGGGAGCUAAUCGCAGAAAGUGUAUCGUAGUCCGGAUUGUAGUCUGCAACUCGACUGCAUGAAGUUGGAAUCGCUAGUAAUCGCGGAUCAGCAUGUCGCGGUGA
rnacentral:rRNA from 1 species